AUGAAAUCCUUGAGUGUUUCCCUCGUGGUCCUGGGGGUCCAGUUAAACUGGGUGAGCAGCCAGCAGAAGGUGCAGCAGACCCCGGAAUCCCUCAGUGUCUCAGAGGGAGCCAUGGCUUCUCUCAACUGCACUUCCAGCGAUCAAAAUUUUCAGUACUUCUGGUGGUACAGACAGUAUCCUGGGAAAGGCCCCAAGGCUCUGGUGUCCAUCUUCUCUGAUGGUAAAAAGGAAGAAGGCAAAUUCACAGUUCACCUCAAUAAAGCCAGCCUGCAUGUUUCCCUGCACAUCAGAGACUCCCAGCCCAGUGACUCAGCUGUCUACCUGUGUGCAGUGAGCACACAGUGCUCCCCAGGCACCUGCAGCCUGCACCCAAACCCACUGGGCUCUGUCAAGGCUGUCAUGUCUUUGGACCAUCUUGCAUUUCCUCCAUCAGGAACUAAAGGAAUGAAGGCAGUUGCUUUUGUGUGGUGGCUGAAGUCACCUUUGUUGAUGGUGUUGGUCCACUAG